CAGGACGAACGCUGGCGGCGUGCCUAAUACAUGCAAGUCGAACGGUCUUUUCUAUGGAAGCUUGCUUCCACUGAGAAGAUAGUGGCGAACGGGUGAGUAACACGUGGGUAACCUGCCCAUAAGAGGGGGAUAACAUCCGGAAACGGGUGCUAAUACCGCAUAGUUUUCUUGAUCGCAUGAUCGGGAAAGGAAAGACGGCCUUUGUGCUGUCGCUUAUGGAUGGACCCGCGGCGUAUUAGUUAGUUGGUGAGGUAACGGCUCACCAAGACGAUGAUACGUAGCCGACCUGAGAGGGUGAUCGGCCACAUUGGGACUGAGACACGGCCCAAACUCCUACGGGAGGCAGCAGUAGGGAAUCUUCCGCAAUGGACGAAAGUCUGACGGAGCAACGCCGCGUGAGUGAAAGAAGGUUUUCGGAUCGUAAAACUCUGUUGUCAGAGAAGAACAAGUUGGAGAGUAACUGCUCCAGCCUUGACGGUAUCUGACCAGAAAGCCACGGCUAACUACGUGCCAGCCGCCGC
rnacentral:rRNA from 1 species